rnacentral:miRNA from 1 species
GAGUCAUAGGCGUUGAUUACACAGCAACCACUGUGUCUUUAUCUCUGUGCUUCUGCUCCUCUGUGCUCCUUAG